rfam:Lactobacillus panis DSM 6035 NODE_93, whole genome shotgun sequence.
AAGAAAAAGCAGAAGCACCCGCUUCUCGCCUAGGUGAUAAGGAUUGCCGGGCUGACGAGAUGAAAUUGAACGGACAGGUAAGGUCCGUUUUGAUAAAGCGGGAUGCAGUUUGCACCCCGCUUUUUUUGCUUGAU